rnacentral:lncRNA from 1 species
UUGUGGUUAGAUUGGGCGACAAUGUUGAACUAAUUAAAUCACUCUGCAACACAACUGUACGUUUUCACUUUAGCUAAGUAACAAGGGAGCUAAUUUAAUUGAACAAACCAAGAAGCUAAAAAUUAUACCUUAAUCACCAAAUACAGAAUAUGGCCAAGAUCGUAAUAAAUUAAUAGGGUUGCACCGUACGUCUAAUUGUAAGUAGGAUAUAUAUUUUCUUGUCACCAUAGUGUUAAGAAAAUUAUAUAUAACGUAUACCAUAUAUAUAUACUUAGAGCCAGUAAUCAACGUACGUUGUUUGCAUGACAUAUAUGGUAUUUAUAUUAGUCAUCUUAAGAUAAUCUGCGUACGUUGUUUGCAUGAUAUAUAUGGCAUGGAAGCCGAAAAUCAUACUAAAACGCUGCAGACCGCCUAGCCCAAGCCAAUAAGGCAAUAAAUUAAAGUUGUGACACUGGAACUUCAUAUAAGUCAAAUUUUUAGUGAUGGUGUGGAUCAGGACCUCCUGGACUUAGUCGCACAGGCCACUUGCCUUCGCUUUCAUCUGUCAUUUCUCGUCUAAAUUGUGCCUCGAAUGCUUCUCUGGCAACCCCAAUAGGCCUGACAGAGCGAGCAUCUGUUAAAAAUGAAAGCAAGAUCAAAGUAAGGCAGAAUAGUAAGAACCUAAAGAUAUCCAUUUUAUAUGUAGUUAGCAACUUUG